GACGAACGCUGGCGGCGUGCUUAACACAUGCAAGUCGAACGAUGAACCCGGAGCUUGCUCCGGCGGAUUAGUGGCGAACGGGUGAGUAACACGUGAGUAACCUGCCCUUGACUCUGGGAUAACUGCGGGAAACUGUAGCUAAUACCGGAUACGACCCUCGUCGGCCUCGCCAGGGGGUGUGAAGAAUGUCGGUCAAGGAUGGACUCGCGGCCUAUCAGCCAGUGGGUGAGGUAACGGCUCACCAAGGUGACGACGGGUAGCCAGCCUGAGAGGGUGACCGGCCACACUGGGACUGAGACACGGCCCAGACUCCUACGGGAGGCAGCAGUGGGGAAUAUUGCACAAUGGGCGCAAGCCUGAUGCAGCAACGCCGCGUGAGGGAUGACGGCCUUCGGGUUGUAAACCUCUUUUAGUAGGGAAGAAGCGAAAGUGACGGUACCUGCAGAAAAAGCACCGGCUAACUACGUGCCAGCAGCCGCAGUAA
rnacentral:rRNA from 1 species